rnacentral:ncRNA from 1 species
CAAGACGACUUUGUGAUCGGUCCCGGCCUCCAACCGGGCGAAAGAGGGAAUGUAGUGCGGCGCGCCCACGCGUCAAAUCUGCAACUGCCCCCGCAACUGUGAGCGGUGAGCAGGGCCAAACAUGCCACUGGUUUCGACCGGGAAGGCUGGCCCAAUGCCAAGACCCGCAAGUCAGGAGACCUGCCGAACACGCGCCCCAUGG